rnacentral:rRNA from 1 species
UACGGGGGGGGUAAGCGUUGUUCGGAAUUACUGGGCGUAAAGGGCUCGUAGGCGGCCAACUAAGUCAGACGUGAAAUCCCUCAGCUUAACUGGGGAACUGCGUCUGAUACUGGAUGGCUUGGAUUCGGGAGAGGAAUGCGGAAUUCCAGGUGUAGCGGUGAAAUGCGUAGAUAUCUGGAGGAACACCGGUGGCGAAGGCGGCCACCUGGACGGUAACUGACGCUGAGACGCGAAAGCGUGGGGAGCAAACAGG